rnacentral:rRNA from 1 species
GACGAACGCUGGCGGCGUGCUUAACACAUGCAAGUCGAACGGACAGGUCAUGCUUUUGUUCCUUGCUCGAGUGGCGAACGGGUGAGUAUCACGUGUGUAACAUGCCCUUGACUUUCUGAUAACUUCAGGAAACUGGGGCGCAUAUCGGAUAGGAGCUCCUGCUGCAUGUUGUUGUAUGGAAAGUUUCGGCGGUUGUGGAUGGUCUCGCGGCUUAUCAGCUUGUUGGUGGGGUAGUGGCUUACCAAGCCUUUGACGGGUAGCCGGCCUGGGAGGGUGACCGGCCACAUGGCGCCUACGGUAGGGCGCAGAAGCGUACGGGCGGCAGCAGUGGGGAGUCUGGCACAAUGGGGGGAAGCGUGAGGCAGAAGCGCCGGGUGCGGGAAGCCGGCUUUUGGGUUGUAAACAGAUUUGGCAGGAGACGAAGCGUGAUUGACGGUAAUGGGGAAAGAAGCACCGGCUAACUACGU